GACGAACGCUGGCGGUGUGCUUAACACAUGCAAGUCGAGCGGUAAGGCCCUUUCGGGGGUACACGAGCGGCGAACGGGUGAGUAACACGUGGGUGACCUGCCCUCAGCUCUGGGAUAAGCCUGGGAAACCGGGUCUAAUACCGGAUAUGACUCCAUGACGCAUGUUGUGGGGUGGAAAGCCUUGUGCGGCUGAGGAUGGGCCCGCGGCCUAUCAGCUUGUUGGUGGGGUGAUGGCCUACCAAGGCGACGACGGGUAGCCGGCCUGAGAGGGCGACCGGCCACACUGGGACUGAGACACGGCCCAGACUCCUACGGGAGGCAGCAGUGGGGAAUCUUGCGCAAUGGGCGAAAGCCUGACGCAGCGACGCCGCGUGAGGGAUGACGGCCU
rnacentral:rRNA from 1 species